rnacentral:rRNA from 1 species
GACGAACGCUGGCGGCGUGCUUAACACAUGCAAGUCGAACGGAAAGGCCCCUUUGGGGGUACUCGAGUGGCGCACGGGUGAGUAACACGUGGGUAACCUGCCCUUGACUUCGGGAUAACUUCAGGAAACUGGGGCUAAUACCGGAUAGGAAUCCUUGCUGCAUGGUGGGGGUUGGAAAGCUUCGGCGGUUUUGGAUGGACUCACGGCUUAUCAGCUUGUUGGUGGGGUAGUGGCUUACCAAGGCUUUGACGGGUAGCCGGCCUGAGAGGGCGACCGGCCACAUUGGGACUGAGAUACGGCCCAGACUCCUACGGGAGGCAGCAGUGGGGAAUAUUGCACAAUGGGCGGAAGCCUGAUGCAGCAACGCCGCGUGCGGGAUGACGGCCUUCGGGUUGUAAACCGCUUUCAGCAGGGGCGAAGCUUGUGGUGACGGUACCUGCAGAAGAAGCACCGGCUAACUACGUG